GCAAUGGCGGCUCUAGGACCGCGCGGACCGCGGCUGGGUGGCGAGCCGGCUUUAACCCGGAGCUGCCUGAGUCACCGGCCCCGCCCUCCAGAGCCGGACACAGCGGGAGGCCCAGCGGCGGGCGAGCAAGACCGCGGACCGCCGGAUCCGACUCUGCUGCAAACAUGUUCUUGGUGAAUUCGUUCUUGAAGGGCGGCGGUGGCGGUGGGGGAGGCGGGGGUCUGGGCGGGGGCCUGGGCAAUGUGCUCGGAGGCCUGAUCAGCGGAGCUGCUGGAGGCGGCGGCGGUGGAGGCGGCGGUGGCGGCAUGGGACUGGGAGGAGGUGGCGGAGGCGGUGGAACAGCCAUGCGUAUCCUGGGCGGAGUCAUUAGCGCCAUCAGCGAGGCUGCUGCGCAGUACAACCCGGAGCCCCCGCCCCCACGUAGCCAUUACUCUAAUAUUGAGGCCAACGAGAGUGAAGAGGAACGUCAGUUCAGGAAACUUUUUGUCCAGCUGGCUGGAGACGACAUGGAGGUCAGCGCUACAGAACUCAUGAAUAUCCUCAACAAGGUCGUGACCCGACACCCAGAUCUGAAAACUGAUGGGUUCGGCAUUGACACUUGUCGGAGCAUGGUGGCUGUUAUGGAUAGUGACACCACAGGCAAGCUGGGCUUUGAGGAGUUCAAGUACCUCUGGAACAACAUUAAAAAGUGGCAGGGUAUAUACAAACGCUUUGAUACUGACCGAUCAGGGACCAUUGGUAGCAAUGAACUCCCAGGGGCCUUUGAGGCAGCAGGAUUCCACCUGAAUCAGCAUAUCUACAGCAUGAUCAUCCGCCGCUACUCGGACGAGACCGGGAACAUGGAUUUCGAUAACUUCAUCAGCUGCUUGGUCAGGCUGGAUGCCAUGUUCCGUGAGUGACACAGUCAAUCUUCGGUGCUUUCAGAUCUCUUGACAAAAAUGGCACUGGACAGAUCCAAGUGAACAUCCAGGAGUGGUUGCAGCUGACUAUGUAUUCCUGAGUGGAAGUCACAGACCUGCCGCCUCACUGCUCACUGUGGAGCCUUGAACCUGAUCCUGUCUGCAGCCACGUUUUUACGGUCAUGUCCUGCUACCCAGAGGCCUUCCUUUUCCCUAUGCUGGUACCCAGCUUCCCAGUCGGCAGCCAGAGCUCAACGUGCCCCAGCUUGCUGCACCCUGAGUUCCCCUGGCUCUGAGACAAGCUAGCUUGCUCUGCCGAAGUGUCACCCCACCCCAGCACACCCAGUCCGCACCCUCUGUGACCUCCAUCCUGUCUGUGUGCCAAGCCUAGCACUCCUAUUGCUUCCAUGUCCCAAGGGCCCUGUCUCAGUUCUGGGAGGAUCACGCCUGUCCCUACACACCUUGUUACACACUCACACAGUUACCUCCCAGGCAGCCAAAUAAACUCCAGGCCAUCCAGUGCCACACACCCUAGUGCCUAUGCCUGCACUGUUUUCCCCCUGCACAGCUGUCGGGCCCAAGAGGAAAUAAACUCUCCAUUCGCUGCUUC